UGCAGGGGCAGCAGAUUGGCUCGGUGGGAUCCCAGGAUAGUUUUCCUUUGGCCGGGCUAGGGUGGGCUGUUCACUCUUCCUCCCCUGUCACCACCGCACGGGCUCAUCACUAAGCUGCUGCAGCAAUUGGAGCUUAGCUCUUAUCAGGAGGCAUUCACAGCUAAUUACUGGGCGGAAUAACCUGAUCUGUCAACAGCUGUGCCGCUGGGAAACUGAUCAUGUGACUCGGCCGGCACUGCAGCCACGGCACCUUCACAUUACAGUAGAUGUCCCCUCCCCAGAGACCAGCCAGCCUAUCACGGUCUUCAGGGUGGGCUGCCUCUGGGUGGGCUGCAUGUAUCAGCCUAGCCCCUCCCCUCUUCCUGCUCCUCGUCUGCUGCGUGUGUCACUGGAAUGCCUGCCCCUCCCCUCCACAGUGUCCUGGCUUCCUCUAUGCAGCUGCUUUCUAUAGGAAAACGAAGUCAGAUCUCCCACUGUACAGUGCUGAGGACUCUGAGAUGUGCACCAGGACCAGUUACCAGACUAGAGAGAGGAGACAGAGGAGGGUUACCAGAGACCAGAGCCAGAGCGUCUGUCAGGGCUGGGUGUGAGCUCGGAGACUGGGCAGAUGAAAGAAGAACACAAUGUUGGUAGAUGAGGAUUCCCUACAACUAGAGUUCAAUGAGAAGCCAAGAAAAUGCUGAAUACGUGCACUACAGAUCCGCAAACUCCAAAUCAGCCUAUCUUACACCAACAGAGAUUCGGAGGCUGACCUGUAGCGCGCCCAAAAUGGCUGCCUCGCCUGGUGUAACCUGUGGAAUGUAUUCAUCACAAUGUCUGCACCAACCUUGCGUUAUGCUCAGUGUGCCGCUAUGUGCACUACGCUCAUUGUUUGUUAGUUUAAUAUCUUCAUGCAAUAACA